GCCCAGGUGGCGGAAUUGGUAGACGCGCUAGCUUGAGGGGCUAGUGGGAGCAAUCCCGUGGAAGUUCAAGUCUUCUCCUGGGCACCA
rnacentral:tRNA from 1 species